rnacentral:lncRNA from 1 species
CUGUGUACAUGAGAGUUUGCCUUCUUGGUGGUAUUUCAUUGACAAUUUUGCGGAUCUGAGGUUCAAAUCCCAUGUCAAGCAUUCUAUCAGCCUCAUCAAGCACAAGAAGAGAAACCUGCCUAAAAUCAAUUCUCUUCAUUUCAAGGAUGUCAUUGAGCCGACCAGGAGUUGCCACCACAACAUCCACUCCUCGAUCCAGUUCCUUUAACUGAGGGCCUUUUGGAGCACCACCAUACAAGCACUGAAACAAAAGAAUGAAACGAUCUUUUUUUCCAUCCAGCAUGUAAAAAAUUCAAUUUAGAAGAAUGUAGAAGUAAAGAAAAAGAGGAAUCACAACUCACCGUGCAAGAGACUCUAGAUGAUCGGCCAAACUUCAUUGCUUCAUCCUGGAUUUGGGUAGCAAGCUCCCGAGUUGGAGCCAAAACCAACACAGUGGGACCAUUGAGAGGAUUAUUUUGCCGUCGCCUUAGAUGAAUGAAUGCAGGGAUCAGAUAUCCCAAUGUUUUGCCAGAACCAGUCUUGGCAAUCGCAACUAUGUCCCUAUUUAGUAGAGCGAUAGGCCAUGUCUGUGCCUGAAUCGGAGUGGGAGCAGAGAAACCAGCAAAAUGUAUCUGAAACAAAUUUAUGUAAACAAUAAGCCUCUGAAAGAGAAAUAAUUAAGAAACUCAAACCAAGUUUCGACAUAGUAAAAUAAGAAAAACCAACUAAGAGGGAACUUUUCCGCUCUUUGAAAGGAUAAAGAUAAAAGGAAAAAAACGAAAGAAAGAUUGCUCAAGAAAAUCCAUGGGUGUGCAGUUGCUUACUGAAAGCAACUCGAGGCAACAAAAGGGAGCAUUAAAAAGAGAAGAGGCGGAGCCAAUAAGCUGGAAACCCCAGUCACAUAGAGUGUGAAUUGCAUGAGGGACAACCACCCUACAACAAUCUGCCAGAGGAAGGCUCCGACUAUUAAUGUUGCAGCCUCAAGCACUCAGAAUAUUCUUGCAAAAGUAUGAGAUAGCAGUGCAGCGUACGACAUGUGCUCCUCCUCUGGAGCAGAUAUCGCACCUGCGACAAGUGAAACUUAUAAGCUAAAGCAUGAAUUUUGCAAAUGAAACGUAAAAGUCAAGAAAAAAGAUGGAUUUCUAAGAUCUCCGAGGCACUUAUAAACAAUUUAUCACAGUUUGGGUUGAAAAUACUUACCUCAUGUAGUAUCUCUGGCGGAAAACCAGUGGCUUCAAAUGUCAUGAAAGGAGCAGGAACAUUGUCGCCCUGAAUAGGAAUUGGGUUUAUUAGAUUUCAGUAACUAUUGACUUGUACAAAAUAAUAUUGGACCGAAGGAACUGCCAAAUAAGAGGGAAUAUGGAAACAGCUAAAACAGCUUACUACGCAGGCUCGACAAAAAAAUAUAUGUGCUUUACUUUUUCCAACCGGCAUCAAUUCUUACAAGUCUCGUGACCAAGAAAUAUCAUAAUCACAGAGUAUGUUCAAGCAACGGAUGCCUUAAUUGCAGUUCAAUCAUACCCUUGGUGACGUAACAUGAACAGAAAUGCAAGAUGAUAUAUUUUAACUGUUGAAUUCAUGAGAAGAACUAGGAAGAUUAUCUCAUUGAGGCCGUUGGGAAAGUAAUAAUGAAAGAGCAUGUUUAUUUUCAAAAACCAGACACUACUAAGGCGUAUUCCAAUAAACUACCAGAGACUUUAAGAGGGAGAUAUUUAGAUCUGCGAUGUCCAAACCUACAUCACAUUGAUAUCUUUUUCAAUCAUGGAAAAGGAAGCAAGACGUGCAUGUUCCGUUCAUUAAACCAUGCAUCUGAUUAUUCUGACAGUAAAAACUUGAGUGGCAGCUAUACAGAUUGGGUACCAAAGCCAAAUGGGUAAAACUGAAACCCGUUGCUUGUGCUGCAGGGAAUAUUCUAGAACAGCCAGGACAAAUUCAAGAUUUUUUAAAGGACAAAAGCGGAAGGCAACAUGAAUUACAAGGGUAAAAGGAAUAGGAAAAUUGUUGAGGUAAAUCUUUAUUACUUUAGGUAGUGCGCACUAUUAAUAGAAAAUUUACAAUUAUAAAGGGUUUCAUUUGCAAAAAAUUGGGCCAUUUAUUUAUUUUUCUUAUGGAGCGCCACCCCUAUCCAUAUCUCAAGAACUGGCUGCAGCCAUUCAACUAUCAAGAAAUGUUUCAGCAGUGGUAAAUUUCGAUCUGUGACUAUGAAAAUUUAAGUGAGAGAUAAGCUCACUUCUUAUCCAUCUUUCCAGAAAUCUUCUCUUCAGCUCUUCCUGGUCUACCAGCAACAAAGAAAGUCCUGAAAAUGUCCACGCCCAUAUCCAAGCCAUAUCAUGUGAACAUGAGUAUUCUAGGACAAUAUGCACAUGUUCUGAUACAACCGGACUACAUACCUCACUUAUUUUCUUUCCUCCAGUUAGAAGGUUACCACAUCCAUCAAUUUUCCAAAAAAAUCAGAUCUGUGAUUUUUUAAAGUACAUUAUGGCAAUGAGUUGCUUUACCAGCUUUCUUCAAGAUUCUGCUUAUAGCUUUUGCUUCAUAUGAUUCACAAUUACAUCUACGAAUGUAUCAUGGAAGCAGAAAACUUUCUACCUGAUGCAGAUGAUGGGACAUUCAUUCAUCAUACAUAAUUAGAAAGAUAUGAAUACAAACCGUGGCUGUUACUUCAUGCUGUUGACAGUAAACCUCAGCUGCUGAGAGAGGAAUAGCAUCUGAAGGGCCCAUCUUUACAGGAGGCCACACAAGAGAAUUGCCCGGAAAUGGUGGGUUGACAGUUGCAUGACUGUAGUUCCAAUGCAAUGGAGGCCCUACUCGGCUAUUAGAUUGACCUGGAAGAUUUAUAGCAACAUUUUGAGGGGGGAAAUCAUGCAUCCUCGUUUCCUGAUAAAAUGUAGCACCAGCAUCAACAAAGAUCCAAAGAAAGAACCCUCCAAAUGUCUUCCACUAGAGACAUGAGGAGUGCAGUGUUACAAGAAAACUAAUCAGAAUCUUAUCAACUGUAAGAAGACGGGGUAAAUAUAUGUGGGUUCUCCAUCUUAAAAUCUACCUUCUAUACUAUUUAUAAAUCAUUCAAUAUGCCCUAGAAGUAACUAUAGGAGGCAAAAAUUAUACUCGAAAUCCAGAUCAACGAUAACUGAUUCAAGGAGUAACUAGCCUGCUGAUUUCUUGGCGUGGGUAGUGCUGCUAGCUUGGGAUGCUGAGGUAUAGCAUGGCCAUCUUUACUGGUGUUAUAAUAUUCAUUUCCAGUUCUUCCAAGAGGGUUUUCUUCGUACCGUGUCUCUGAUCUGGUGGGGGGCAGAUUCUGCUGCUGCCCAUGAAUAAUCCCAGAGCCCAUCACAUUUUGAAACCUAGAACCACCAGAUUGGGGGGCCAAAUCUGCUCCACUCGGCUGCGUAUUGACAGCAGAGGGACCAUACUGCGUAUUUUGACUAGGCUGAACACGAAUCUGUGGUGCAUGAAUGGAAUUUGCCCCAGCAGAUAAGUUUUGUGCAGAUGGUGUCCCAGUUUGCUGAAUGUGGGCUGGAGAAAACGCAGUUUGCUUCACUUGAUGAAUUUCAAGAUCAUAUCUCGGAGGGAAUCCCACUUUAUGCUCUUGUUGACGGGGAUUCUGUUGCCCCUGCAUUAAAUGUUGAGAUUGUUGUGAGGAAGCUGGUGUAGUCAUUUACAAGUCAUACUAUGAUAAUUGCAUAAAGGGCAAGAAACGGUAAAAUGAACAGAAGCCCAACUAAAAGUUAAAAUCCAGUUAUUGACUUUUCUUUUUUUUACCAGUUCUGAUCUACAACUUGAAAAAAUUAAUUUUCUUCAAUCAUAAAGCAGUAAUUUUUUUAUUUGAUCUUCAUUAGAAAAGACGAAUAUUGUCACAAUUUACCUGUGUGAUAGACUUAUUUGCAGCAAGUUCGUCGACGCUGCCAAUGUUCACUUGGACUGGAUUAACAAGCAAAUCGCUUGCUAUUUUUCUCACUUCUUUGGGCCAUGUCGCUGUGUACAUGAGAGUUUGCCUUCUUGGUGGUAUUUCAUUGACAAUUUUGCGGAUCUGAGGUUCAAAUCCCAUGUCAAGCAUUCUAUCAGCCUCAUCAAGCACAAGAAGAGAAACCUGCCUAAAAUCAAUUCUCUUCAUUUCAAGGAUGUCAUUGAGCCGACCAGGAGUUGCCACCACAACAUCCACUCCUCGAUCCAGUUCCUUUAACUGAGGGCCUUUUGGAGCACCACCAUACAAGCACUGAAACAAAAG